rnacentral:rRNA from 1 species
GCGGUGGAGCAUGUGGUUUAAUUCGAUGGCAACGCGAAGAACCUUACCUACCUUUGAAUCCACAGAACCUAGCAGAGAUCUCGGGGUGCCUUCGGGAACUGUGAGACAGGUGCUGCAUGGCGGUCGUCAGCUCGUGUCGUGAGAUGUUGGGUUAAGUCCCGUAACGAGCGCAACCCUUGUCCUUAGUUGCCAUCAGGUUAUGCUGGGCACUUUAAGGAGACUGCCGGUGAUAAACCGGAGGAAGGUGGGGAUGACGUCAAGUCCUCAUGGCUCUUACAGGUAGGGCUACACACGUGCUACAAUGGUCGGUACAGAGGGAAGCCAACCCGCGAGGGGGAGCGAAUCUCAGAAAGCCGAUCGUAGUCCGGAUUGGAGUCCGCAACUCGACUCCAUGAAGUUGGAAUCGCUAGUAAUCGCG